CACGUAGUUAGCCGGGGCUUCUUAGUCAGGUACCGUCAUUUUCUUCCCUGCUGAUAGAGCUUUACAUACCGAAAUACUUCCUCACUCACGCGGUGUCGCUGCAUCAGGGUUUCCCCCAUUGUGCAAUAUUCCCCACUGCUGCCUCCCGUAGGAGUUUGGGCCGUGUCUCAGUCCCAAUGUGGCCGUCCACCCUCUCAGGCCGGCUACUGAUCGUAGGCUUGGUAGGCCUCUACCCUGCCAACUACCUAAUCAGACGCGGGCCCAUCUUACACCACCGGAGUUUUUACCACCCUGCCAUGCGGCAAUGUGGUCUUAUGCGGUAUUAGCAGUCAUUUCUAACUGUUAUCCCCCUGUGUAAGGCAGGUUGCCCACGCGUUACUCACCCGUCCGCCGCUCAGUCACUUCCUCGUCCCUCCGAAGAGUUCUAAUGAAGUGCUUCGCUCGACUUGCAUGUGUUAGCACGCCGCCAGCGUUCAUCCUGAGCCCAGGGACUCCAAAACUCCUA
rnacentral:rRNA from 1 species